rnacentral:lncRNA from 1 species
UGCCGGCGCGGGUGUGGGGUUAGAGGCGGGGCGCGGGCGGGUGGUGCUCCCGGCGGAGGCGGGUUCGGGGCGGGGCAAAGGGCCUGACCCAGGCUGCGGGGCAGGGCCGGGGGCGCGGAGCGCGCGUUGAUUGGCAGGGGAUGGGGUGGAACUCCAGGCACGCGGCGAGGGCGGGGCCGAAGGCAGGGACGGAGGUGGGGACGAGUGAGCCGACGGGGCGGGGGCGGUGCUCUGGCGGGCCGGGCAUGGCGUCCAUGGCGGCGGCGAUCGCGGCGUCGCGCUCCGCAGUCAUGAGCGCGAACCGGCCGCUGGACGAGCGGGAGCGGAAGCGCUUUACCUACUUCUCGUCUCUAAGCCCCAUGGCCAGGAAGAUCAUGCAGGACAAGGAGAAGAUCCGAGAGAAGUACGGGCCCGAGUGGGCGCGGCUGCCGCCCGCACAGCAGGACGAGAUCAUCGACCGCUGCUUGGUGGGGCCGCGCACCUCAGCACCCUCGGAUUCGGGAGACCCGGGGGACCGCGCACAUUUCCCUGGCCUGCGCGGGCCUACGGGCCAGAAGCUGGUGCGCUUCGGCGACGAGGACAUAACUUGGCAAGAUGAGCACUCUGCACCUUUCUCCUGGGAAACAAGGGUAAGUUGGAUUAAGUUUAGAUGUAUUUGCCCUUUUAAAAAGAAGCAAGUAGCUAUACAUUUUCUGUCAGUGUUUGCUGGGCUCGGGGCUUUGGCCUCACUGCUGGGCGGAGGGCACAGGCCCAUUGUCCGGGGAGAAGGUUGUGGGGAGUUCUGAGGCUCCUGUGUGGUUG